CGCGCCAUGGCGGCGGAGGGGACUGAUGUGGCCGGAGGCGGGGCUGUUGGUGGCCGCCUGGCCAAGGACCUCUUGCGGCAAUCUAACAGCCUAGACGCGGUCCCGAACCGGCGGCGCUUCUCGUCGCUGUCGCGUGACGCCGAGCACCGAGCCUACCAGUGGUGCCGAGAGUACUUGGGCGGGGCCUGGCGCCGACUGCACCCGGAGGAGCUGAGGGUUUACCCCGUGAGCGGAGGCCUCAGUAACCUGCUCUUCCGCUGCUCGCUCCCGGACCACCUGCCUAGCGUUGGCGAGGAGCCCCGGGAGGUCCUGCUACGGCUGUAUGGGGCCAUCCUGCAGGGCGUGGACUCUCUGGUCCUCGAAAGCGUGAUGUUUGCCAUCCUUGCAGAGCGGUCACUGGGGCCCCAGCUCUACGGAGUUUUUCCGGAGGGCCGGCUAGAACAGUACAUCCCAGUACGAGCCAAGCCCUGCCCGCUCCUCCCCAAGGCACCUGCCCCCAGCCCCUCCCUACCCCCAGUGUCCGCCUUCACAUCCCUCACCCCAGGUUCCUGGGUGCAGAGCCGGCCAUUGAAAACUCAAGAGCUUCGAGAGCCGAUGUUGUCAGCAGCUAUUGCUACGAAGAUGGCCCAGUUCCAUGGCAUGGAGAUGCCUUUCACCAAGGAGCCCCACUGGUUGUUUGGGACCAUGGAGCGGUACCUACAGCAGAUACAGGACCUGCCCCCAACUGGUCCUCCCCAGAUGAAUCUACUGGAGGUGUACAGCCUGAAGGAGGAGAUGGGCAACCUCAGGAAGUUACUGGACUCUACUCCAUCACCAGUGGUGUUCUGCCACAAUGACAUCCAGGAAGGGAACAUCUUGCUGCUCUCAGAGCCAGAAAGUGCUGACAGCCUCAUGCUGGUGGACUUUGAGUACAGCAGUUACAACUAUAGGGGCUUUGACAUUGGAAACCAUUUUUGUGAGUGGGUUUAUGAUUAUACACAUGAGGAAUGGCCUUUCUAUAAAGCCAGGCCCGAAGACUACCCCACACAAGGACAGCAGCUUCAUUUUAUUCGCCAUUACCUGGCAGAGGUAAAGAAAGGUGAGACUCUCCUCUCCCAAGAUGAGCAGAGAAGACUAGAAGAGGAUUUGCUAGCAGAGGUCAAUCGGUGAGGAAGGAGGGGCAAGGUGGAGGUAUGGCAGGGCACAGAGGAAAAGGGGAUUAAGGGGGCGGUAAUCAUGGCUGGGUGUGGUGGUUUAGGCCUAUAAUCCUAGGGCUCUGGGGGGCCAAGGCGGGUAGAUGCCUGAGUUCAGAGGUUCAAGACCAGCCUGAGCCAGAGUGAGACCCCAUCUCUACCAAAAAAAAGUCAGGCGUUGUGGCAGGCACCUGUAGUCCCAGCUACUUGGGAGGCUAAGGGAAAAAGAAUCGCUGAAGGAAGAAAAGAAAAAAAAAGAAAAAAACUUCAAACUAAGACAAUUGAAAGCCAGUUGAAAGCAAAAUUCAAAAAAAAAACGAAAAAGUAAUCAGACUUUGCCAGCUGCAGGUAAGGAUCCAGCACAGAGAGGGACAGAGGUGAAGAUGAGGUCUGGGGCUGGCAGAGAGAAACAGUCUGAGAGCAGGAGGGGUCAGGGUGAUGUAGGGGUUAAGACAGUGGGAAGCAGUUACAGCUUUGGGGAUUGACCAGCCUAAAUGAGGGGAGCCAAGCAGUGCCAAAUGUAUUUUUGAAUGCCUCUACUUUUCCUGCCCC